AUAUCCUGGUUUCUCUUCAGAUCAUAUAAAUCGUUCGCCUUUUA
rnacentral:snRNA from 1 species